CUGAAUAACUGAGCGGAUCGUACGGUUUUCACACCGACGACAUAUCCUUCAAGUGUCUGCCUUAUCAACUUUCGAUGGUAGGUUAUAUGCCUACCAUGGUUGUAACGGGUAACGGAAGAUCAGGGUUUGAUUCCGGAGAGGGCGCCUGAGAAACGGCGGCCACUUCUAAGGAAGGCAGCAGGCGCGUAACUUACCCACUCUCAGUGCGAGGAGGUAGUGACGAAAAAUAUCGAGCUGGCGAUCUACGAUUGCCAGCAUCGGAAUGAGAACAACGUAAACGAUUUAUCGAGUAACUAGCAGAGGGCAAGUCUGGUGCCAGCAGCCGCGGUAAUUCCAGCUCUGCAAGUGUAUAUCUAUGCUGCUGCGGUUAAAAAG
rnacentral:rRNA from 1 species